UAUCUAUCGGGUUUAUGACACAACACCAGAAUCCUACGGGAGGCAGCAGUGGUGAAUAUUGCACAAUGGGCGAAAGCCUGAUACAACGACGUCGCCUGAGGGGGGGGGGGGGUUCCCCCUCCUUAACCUCUUUCUGCAGGGAAGAAGCGAAAGUGACGGUACCUGCAGAAGAAGCACCGGCUAACUACGUGCCAGCAGCCGCGGUAAUACGUAGGGUGCGAGCGUUGUCCGGAAUUAUUGGGCGUAAAGAGCUUGUAGGCGGUUUGUCGCGUCUGCUGUGAAAAUCCGGGGCUCAACCCCGGACUUGCAGUGGGUACGGGCAGACUAGAGUGUGGUAGGGGAGACUGGAAUUCCUGGUGUAGCGGUGAAAUGCGCAGAUAUCAGGAGGAACACCGAUGGCGAAGGCAGGUCUCUGGGCCACUACUGACGCUGAGAAGCGAAAGCAUGGGGAGCGAACAGGAUUAGAUACCCUGGUAGUCCAUGCCGUAAACGUUGGGCGAUAGGUGUUGGACUCUUCCACGAGUUCCGUGCCGCAGCUAACGCCUUAAGCGCGCCCCCUGGGGAGUACGGCCGCAAGGCUAAAACUCAAAGGAAUUGACGGGGGCCCGCACAAGCGGCGGAGCAUGCGGAUUAAUUCGAUGCAACGCGAAGAACCUUACCAAGGCUUGACAUAUACCGGAAACAUCCAGAGAUGGGUGCCCCUUUUGGUCGGUAUACAGGUGGUGCAUGGUUGUCGUCAGCUCGUGUCGUGAGAUGUUGGGUUAAGUCCCGCAACGAGCGCAACCCUCGUUCUAUGUUGCCAGCACGUGAUGGUGGGGACUCAUAGGAGACUGCCGGGGUCAACUCGGAGGAAGGUGGGGAUGACGUCAAAUCAUCAUGCCCCUUAUGUCUUGGGCUUCACGCAUGCUACAAUGGCCGGUACAAAGGGCUGCGAUGCGGCAAGGUGGACCCAAUCCCAAAAAACCGGUCUCAGUUCGGAUUGGCG
rnacentral:rRNA from 1 species